UUGGUACUGCUUAACUUUUUUUAAAAGCUGAGAUGAAAAAAAGUUGAGUUCAUAUUUGUGUUUGGUAACUCAAUAAGAAAGCACUUAUUUCUAAAAUUGCUGUGAGAAACAGCUGGAAAUGGGAAGCACCUAUUUGCUGCUUUCAAAAACCGGCUUUUUAUCGCAGCAACGCGGAUGAACAGUAACGUUUAAAGAAAGUUUUCAAAUGGCGAUGCUACUCCUCGCGUCUCACUUCUCUCCCUCCCGUCUUCACUUUAAGCUGCAAAUCCUCCACCGCCGCAAAAAUCCUAGAAUCCAGAGAUUGAAGGAAGCGGAUCUGGCUUCUGGGUUUCACGUGAAACAGAGAGAGUUGGAAGCGUGAGCUACUUCUGAAGGUUUCCGUUUUGGGAGCUGAGAAGGUGCUUAUUUUCACUCCGAGCAGCCGCCAACCUGAAACUUCCUUCCUCCCAGCGAUCUCUCUCGUUCUCCAGGUCACGUUCUCCGGCUCGACGUCCUUCCUCUGACCAAACAAGGGCAGCAGACACUCGUGAUUCGAAUUGCAAACUGCUCCCAACAACGGUGACAUCAAGGGUCUGCUACUCAUUCAGGGACUUGAAGGAAAGAACUUCCAGCGCCACUUUGAUAUCUACUUUGGCAUUUGGUGAGAUUCUGGCAUUGUAAGAUGAGUUUAGGAUAGAUAAAGGGGUCUCUCUGGGGUUCCGAGCUCCCAGUUUUGAGGCACCACAUAUAUACUCGGUUCUUUUUAAAAUUUUGUUUUGAAUUAUGUUCAAGAUUUGUUCUUUAUUUUGAUUGUUUGAUGAUGAUGUUGAGGAUUUGGAGGAUGGUGUAAUUAUAUGCGUUGUAGCGAGAGCUGUUGAAACAUAUUAUUUAAAAUAUGUCCACAAAACUCCGUGUAUGAAUUCUUCCCAUACAAGUAAUAUUUGGUUGAUGGAAAUACUACAAGGAAA